UACGAAGGGGGCUAGCGUUGUUCGGAAUUACUGGGCGUAAAGCGCACGUAGGCGGCUUUGUAAGUAAGAGGUGAAAGCCCGGAGCUCAACUCCGGAACUGCCUUUUAGACUGCAUCGCUUGAAUCCAGGAGAGGUGAGUGGAAUUCCGAGUGUAGAGGUGAAAUUCGUAGAUAUUCGGAAGAACACCAGUGGCGAAGGCGGCUCACUGGACUGGUAUUGACGCGUG
rnacentral:rRNA from 1 species